rnacentral:rRNA from 1 species
AGCUCUAAUGGUGUAUGCUAACAUUGUUGCAGUUAAAAAGCUCCUAGUCGAAUAUGUUAGGGAAUCAUUUUUAUGUGAUCUUAUUCAACUACCAAGAAAUUCGAUUAUUCCUAUUAUUCGAAGAUGCAAGGUUGGAAUUUAUUUUCCAAUCAUUGAAAUAAUGUAAUUUUACUUUGAAAAAAAUAGAGUGUUUUAGACAAUCUUAUGGAUGUAUAUUAAAGCAUAGAAUGGUAGAUAAUGACAUCAGUUAAAUGUCUGAUGGUUUGAGAGGUU